rnacentral:lncRNA from 1 species
AUAAGCCUCUUCCAUGAUCGAUGUGAGAAAGAAAACCAAGUCCCCGAACUCGAAAGAAGAUUGAGAUCAGGAGGCUGCGAAUGCUCAAUGUCAAACUCAAAGCCUUUGGUGGGUUAGCAAGCCUCUUCCACAAUCAACAUGAGAAAGAGAACUAAGUUCGCAGUUACGAAGGAAGAUAGAGAGGAGGAUGACAUAUGUUUGGUGUUGGUCUCAAACCAGCCUUUAAUUUGGUGGUCUAGCAAGCCUCUUCCACGAUCGAUAUGAAAAGGAAAAUCGGGUCUAAGAUCGAAAAGGGAGACGGGCAGCGAGUGAUAUGAAGUUGGUGUUUUCUUCUUCUUUCUUCACAAAAAGAAAACAGGGCAACCUCAAACCUUUGGCAAAUUUUUGCGUGGAUCUCUCAAGUAGUAAAGAAGAGAUCAUUUAAGAUGAUGUGUUUGAUCAUAGGCUUAUUAUCUUUAGUUUUGUUACUUAUGGUAUAUGCCUUGGUUUGGUUUGACUUGAAAGUAUUUGGUUACAAUUUAAGCAGUCUUGUGGUUUGAUUGCACCAAAAGUUUAGGAUUACAUAUCUCAUGGAUUAUCACAAUAGACAUAACUCAAAUGAUCACCUAAAGUGUGACUUUUCGAUGCAUAUUCAUAAGAGGUACGUUCGUGCUUAAUGGAUAUUUGUCAUAAGGUUAACUAGACAUCCCAAUAACUAUUUUUCAAAAU